GAGAGUGUUUUUACAUGAUGCUUACGGCGGUGGUGCAUGGCCGUUUUAAAUGGAUGGCGUGAGCUUUGGAUUAAGUNACGUAAGAUGUGAGACCCUUUUUGACUGUGCUNUAUGGGGCAAGGGAGGAAUGGAACAGAACAGGUCCGUUAUGCCCUGAGAUGAAGCGGGCGGCACGCGCACUACGAUAGAUGCCUAUGUGGGCUACUGUGAGGGAUGAAGCUGUGUAAUGGGCUUCUGAACGUGGAAUUCCUAGUAAGAAUGAUUGAACAAGUUAUUUUGAAUGUGUCCCUGUCCUUUGUACACACCGCCCGUCGCUAUCUAAGAUGACGCAGUGGCACGAAGAUUGAGAGGUCUGAGUCUUUCGUGUUAGAUAAGAUAUAAGUCGUAACAUGGCUGCUGUUGAGAACCAGCAGCAGGAUCAGUA
rnacentral:rRNA from 1 species